AUGAAAGUCAUUAUUUCAUUAAGCAGGCUUAAUGAGAAUGCUUACGUACAAUGCUUCCCUGCAGAGUUACCAGGGAAACCUCAAAGCCCUAAUAAUGCCAUAAACAUCUUUCAGAAGGUGCUUAACAGGAUGUUAAGUGAAGGUCUUAAAGUGUUGGCUAAGCCCUCCGAGUGGAAUACACUUAGUGAAGAAGUGAAUGAGGACCUCUUUAUUUCCAAUGCAAUAGAAAUGCAAAGAGGAGGAAAUCAAUGCAAACCAGUAUGUCUUGGAUCAGCACAUUUUAAAACAAAAUGUACCUUUGUAUCUAAAAAUCUGAGAGCCAUGAAUAUUUAACAGAGAGAGAAAAGAAUGAUUUUGUCAGCGUGUAAAGCAAGUCCCAGGGAAGCUUAAAUUCUGCUGUCUUCUAUCCACCUGCUAGAUGCCAUUGGCAUUCCUCCCAGUCGUGACAUCUAAAAUAUCUCCAGACAUUAUCAAAUGUCCCCCAGAGGGGGUAUCAAAAAUUGACCCUGGUUGAGAAGUAAUCCCAUAAAGAGUCCCCCAAAUCAGCAUAUUAGUGUCCUAUUGCUGUUGUAAUAGAUUACCAAAAACGUAGUGGCUUAAAACAACACAUUUUUUUGGUCUCACAGUUCUGGAGGUCAGAAGUCCAACCUCACUCUCACUGGGCUAAUAUUAGGGUGUCAGCAGGUCUGGAUUCUUUCUUGGAGUUCUGGUAGAGAAUUCCUUUCCUUGCCAGCUUUUCAAUGCCGCCUUCGUUCCUGGCUCCCUAUUCCCGGCCAGCAGUGACAUCAUACCUUCUCUGACUCUGACCCUCCUGCCUCCCUCUGAUAAAGAUCCUUAUGAUUACAUUGGCCCACCUGGAUAGUCCAGGGUCAUCUUCCCAUCUGGAAGUUCUAAACUUCAUCACACCUGUCAGGUCCCUUUUAUCAUGGAAGAUAACGUAUUCACAGGUUUCACAGAUUAGUAUAUGGACAUCUUUGGGGAGGGCAUUCUCUGUACCACAGUCAGUCUUUGGGCUCAUGCCAACCAGAGGACACUAAGUAGAUGGAUGUACCAGCACUAGUUAAGUAAGAUCCUGUGCUUUCUACUUGCUUCUCCUCCUGCCUCUUCCCAGGAUCUGGAAGCACUGAACAAGUGAGAAAAGAAGGUGAGAAAAAGAAAUCUCACCCUACCCCUCCCCAUUGCUGGAACCAAAUGUGGAGGUGUGCUCAGGCCUAGCUGGAAGAGACCUUGAAAUCAUUUGGAAGAUAAUGGUUUUGAUUACAGUGGGACGGGACUUUUUUUUUCUUUUAAUGCUAUUUUAAUUCCCCACUUGUCUGGUAUGCCACAGGCUCUAGCUGGAAGGUUACUCAUGGCUAGAAGAGAGGCUGUUAAUCAGUAAAACUGAAGGCAGUGAUGGGGAGAGAAAAAGUUACUGCUCGUGGUCCCUCAUAGACCCCAGCUUAUUGAAUAAACCUGGUACAAGCAGGUUUUAGAGGAGAGAG
rnacentral:lncRNA from 1 species